UACGAAGGGGGCUAGCGUUGCUCGGAAUCACUGGGCGUAAAGGGUGCGUAGGCGGGUCUUUAAGUCAGGGGUGAAAUCCUGGAGCUCAACUCCAGAACUGCCUUGAUACUGAGACUUGAGUUCGGGAGAGGUGAGUGGAACUGCGAGUGUAGAGGUGAAAUUCGUAGAUAUUCGCAAGAACACCAGUGGCGAAGGCGGCUCACUGGCCCGAUACUGACGCU
rnacentral:rRNA from 1 species